CAGCCAUUCUCGUGCAGCUUGUCACGCGUUGAAUCCAUCCAUCCCCCUCUCCUCGCCCCAGCCCUCUCUGUGGCCAUCCUACUCAGCAACUUCGACACCCGCCGUGCAGCCUUUUUCUUCGGUUGCCACGCCCUCGAUAAUCCGUGGACCCACAUAUCUGACCGCACAAGGCAACCAUGGAGGACACCGUCGAGGCCAUUGUGAACCAGCAGCGCGAGACGGAGAGAGCCGUCUUGGGCGGACAAAAAGUGCACAUCCGCGUGCAGCAGCGCAAGGGCAAGAAGUUCGUGACGACAGUUCAGGGGCUCAACCAGAAGCUUAACUUCCGCCGCAUCAACCGCGAGUUCCAGCGCCGCUGGGGUUGCAACGGGACUGUGAUCAGCACUCCUGAUGCGGGAACCGUCAUCCAGCUGCAGGGCAACUGGAGCGAGAACAUCAAGCAGUUCCUCUUAGACGAGCACAUGGCGACAGAGAACAACCUCGAGAUACACUCUCUGUAAUAAGGGGUGCGGAAGGGACAAGAAACUCAUGAGAGCAAGAGAAGGCGCGACGUCUUCAUGUCUGCCGUGCCCAUAUGUGCUCUGUCAUUGGAACCGCGUACGCGCGGAUGCCUCGUUAUGGGGCAGCUCGGGAGGGAGAAGGGGGGGGGGCGCUGCGUGACCGUUGCAGAACGCGUGUGAGAAGGGGCCGUUCCCCCCUGGCACACACGCACACACGAGGACCACGCGGCAGCCAGGAUGAGUGUCCCUUCAAUGCGUCGCCCUUUGUGAGCGCGUGUGUCGGUUUCAGGCCCCUCUUUUGCUCUCUCCGUCUUCCUUGUCCCUCUCUGCAUAUGCGUCCAUCGGAUGCGCGAAUGGUGUGUGGUUCCUGAUGCGUGUCUACGCGGGCCCUCAGAGAUGAGGUGGAAGAUGUAGCCACGCGCGCGUGUGUGUGUGUGUGUGUGUUGUCGCCGUACUUCUUUUUUCUCCUACGGCCCUCUCUCGUCUCUCCUCUGGCUUACGUGGUCUAUAUAUUUUUCUUUGUCCUGUGUGUUUGUGUGUGUGUGUGUGUGUGUCUGAGAGAGAGAGCCUUUGUGAUAAUCUCGGCACGCUGUGUGCAUGCGUGCAGCAGCAUGUGCGAUGAAGGUGGUUGGGUUGGUGCUCUCGUAUUGAACCCAAAACCAAGGGGGGAUGUCGGAGGCGAUGAAGAAGCAGUGUAUGUGUCUACGGUUCUAAUUAACGUAAACGGAGGAAGCGACGUACUAUAGUCUUCUCUCGCGCACCGCCGUAUCCACCGACACACAAGUACACACAGCGAGCGACUUGUCUCCUCCUCCAUCGUUUGCCGUGCAAGCUAGUGUGGUUGUGUGUCAGUGUAUGUGCGUGCGUCGAUCGGGUGCGCCUAGGGGAGUAGAGAUCAGGAGAAAGCGUGCGGAGGGAGAAGUUCGAGGAGCCUCCGCUCUUUCUCUUGUCUUCUGUGUGUAAAAGCAGCGAGG
rnacentral:misc_RNA from 1 species